GUCAGGAAGAGGAAGAAAAAGAGGGUAUAAGAGCAUUGGGAAUGAGAAUAUCGAGGAAAGCCAAGCUUGAUGGUUCCCUCCUAGCAUUGGGGGUGCAAAUUUAAUUUGGAGUUUCCCGAUGCCUCUCAUUCCUAUUGUUCUUAAACCCUCCUUCCUCUUCCUUUUGGUU
rnacentral:pre_miRNA from 1 species